GACGAACGCUGGCGGUGUGCUUAACACAUGCAAGUGGAGCGACGAACCAGGGCUUGCCCUGGGGCAGAGCCGCGAACGGGUGAGUAACACGUGGGUAACGUACCCCGAUCACCGGGACAACCCGAGGAAACUCGGGCUAAUACCGGAUGUGUCCGUGAAUCAUGAGGUUCACGUGCAAAGGAAGCUUCGGCCUCCGGAUCGGGAGCGGCCCGCGGCCCAUUAGCCUGUUGGUGGGGUAACGGCCUACCAAAGCGACGAUGGGUAGCUGGUCUGAGAGGACGAUCAGCCACACUGGGACUGAGACACGGCCCAGACUCCUACGGGAGGCAGCAGUGGGGAAUCUUGCGCAAUGCGCGAAAGCGUGACGCAGCAACACCGCGUGAGGGAAGACGGCCUCGG
rnacentral:rRNA from 1 species